AGAACGCUGGCCUUCCCGGGCGGGGCUCCCAGCGACUAAUGAGGGAGCAGGGGGCUGUAAUUGAGCUUUAAUUGUUAAUUCUGUAUUGACAAUUCAGCUGGCAGUCACGGCCAAGUAAUGAGCCCAUUAGCAACGCCUCUGGUCGCGGCUGAGGCCGGAUUCUCUUGGUUGUAAGAUAGAGACGGGAGAAUCUGAUUGUCCCACUAUUUAACCUUGGUUAAUGAGGCAGCAGUGAUGUAUUCAAAGAUUCCUGAGACCGAACAUCUGGUUUCUAAUUCUGCUCCUGCCACUGGAGAUGACUCCUGAGAUAAAAAAUCACAGUGCCUGCCCUCAGUCAUCUCCUACUCUGCACUGGAUUCAUCUUUACGGUUGAGAAGUCUAGGCCCAGAAGAGUGAAGUGACUUGGCCUUGUAACCUUGAUCAUUUAACCUCCUGAGUGGUUUGGAAUAAAAGGUCUGAAAGAUUCCUUCUCACUCUGUGUCUGAGCCUGGGAUCGAGCCCUCCCUGGGGUGCGUCUAUGGCCCUCUGCUCUCCUUAGCUCACCUUCUCCAAACAGCUCCUGCCAGACUUCAAUCAGACUGUUUGUGAAUAUCUCAGGAUGCCCAGGGCAACUUCCUGAUGCAAAGGGGUGAAAGCAGGGAUGUGCUGGUAAAUAUUUAACAUCCAGCUCUCCUAGGGUGUGGGGGGGAAUGUAGCUAGACACACUUGUAAGUUUAAUCUGCAUCAUUAACAUUUUUUCCAUCGUUUGCCCAAGUCUAGAUUAUCAGCAAAUCAAUAUAUCAAGCCUUAACCUGCAGUUUGCCAAUUUCCAAGGUGUACUCACAUUGAAAAUUUAACAAUUGGCUCUUGCCUGCUAGUGCCAACUGGUUCCAGCAUUCCACUGGGUAAAAGCAAUGCCUACAACCUGUGUUCCCCAGAACCAAAUCUGCUUCUCCUUUUAGGUGAACCGUGUUGGCUAUAUAUAUUCUCUGGGAUUUCCCCAGAAAGGAGAAGUGAAAGGGAAGAAAAACACCUCUGACCCAGGGCACCUUGAAAAGGGGAAUAACUCUUGCAAUCCUACCUUGAUUUUUUCCAUCUUUUGUAAACCUCACUCUGUGAAG